GUGCCGCUAUUGGGAAACAGUUCGCCAGCGAACAGUGGUGUGCAGUACGCCCGAAAGAGCGUUACCUUCACUGCAGCAUGAGGAACCUGCGGGCGAGCAUGUCCGCUCUCACCGGUGCCUAGCUACUUAAACUUCCCAUCACCAAUUAGUCACAUGAAGGAAGUCUGUCGACAGGCUUCUCAAGCGAUACAGAUGACUAGAAACAUUGUUGUUCGUUCCAACGAAAAUGAUACCGAAGCGGCCACCACAAUGAUGCAGAAAUUGGUGAAACUGAUGUCAGACCUGAUCAACUUCCAAGUCCUACAGCGAACUUGCAUUA